GGUUUCCAGAGAUGGAUUCCGUCACUUCGGUGACCUGCAGAGCAGGUGCUGCAUGGCUGUCGUCAGCUCGUGUCGUGAGAUGUUGGGUUAAGUCCCGCAACGAGCGCAACCCUCGCCUUUAGUUGCCAUCAUUUAGUUGGGCACUCUAGAGGGACUGCCGGUGAUAAGCCGGAGGAAGGUGGGGAUGACGUCAAGUCUUCAUGGCCCUUACGGGCUGGGCUACACACGUGCUACAAUGGCGGUGACAGAGGGCAGCUAGUCCGCGAGGACAUGCUAAUCCCUAAAAGCCGUCUCAGUUCGGAUUGGGGUCUGCAACUCGAGUGCAUGAAGUUGGAAUCGCGUAGUAAUCGCGGAACAGCAUGCCGCGGUGAUACGUUCCCGGG
rnacentral:rRNA from 1 species